rnacentral:tRNA from 1 species
GGCCUAUUGGCCCAAUGGCAAGGCGUCUGACUACGAAUCAGGAGAUUGUCGGUUCGAGCCCGACAUAGGUCA